rnacentral:rRNA from 1 species
UACGAAGGGGCUAGCGUUGCUCGGAAUCACUGGGCGUAAAGCGCACGUAGGCGGAUUGUUAAGUCAGGGGUGAAAUCCUGGAGCUCAACUCCAGAACUGCCUUUGAUACUGGCGAUCUUGAGUCCGGGAGAGGUGAGUGGAACUGCGAGUGUAGAGGUGAAAUUCGUAGAUAUUCGCAAGAACACCAGUGGCGAAGGCGGCUCACCUGGCCCGGUACUGACGCUGACGGCGCGAAGCGUGGGAGCAACGG